rnacentral:rRNA from 1 species
AUUGAACGCUGGCGGCAUGCCUUACACAUGCAAGUCGAACGGCAGCACGGGAGCAAUCCUGGUGGCGAGUGGCGAACGGGUGAGUAAUAUAUCGGAACGUGCCCAGUCGUGGGGGAUAACGCAGCGAAAGCUGUGCUAAUACCGCAUACGAUCUACGGAUGAAAGCGGGGGAUCGCAAGACCUCGCGCGAUUGGAGCGGCCGAUAUCAGAUUAGCUAGUUGGUGAGGUAAAGGCUCACCAAGGCGACGAUCUGUAGCUGGUCUGAGAGGACGACCAGCCACACUGGAAAUGAGACACGGUCCAGACUCCUACGGGAGGCAGCAGUGGUGAAUUUUGGACAAUGGGCGCAAGCCUGAUCCAGCAAUGCCGCGUGCAGGAUGAAGGCCUUCGGGUUGUAAACUGCUUUUGUACGGAACGAAACGGUGAGCUCUAAUACAGUUUGCUAAUGACGGUACCGUAAGAAUAAGCACUGGCUAACUACGUGCCAGCCGCCGCCGUAA